CAGUCGCCACGGUAACACGAGGGGGGCAAGCGUUGUUCGGAAUUAUUGGGCGUAAAGGGUGCGUAGGCGGCUUGACAAGUCUUGUGUGAAAUCUAUGGGCUCAAUCCAUAGUCUGCACGGGAAACUGUCGGGCUUGAGAAUGGGAGAGGUGAGUGGAAUUUCCGGUGUAGCGGUGAAAUGCGUAGAUAUCGGAAGGAACACCUGUGGCGAAAGCGGCUCACUGGACCAUUUCUGACGCUGAUGCACGAAAGCUAGGGGAGCAAACAGGAUUAGAUACCCCCGUAGUCCCUGUCUCUUAUAC
rnacentral:rRNA from 1 species